AACCUUUAGCCAAACAAAUAUUAAAGGCAACGCCUGCCCAGUGAACAAUUUAACGGCCGCGGUAUCCUAACCGUGCAAAGGUAGCAUAAUCAUUUGUCUACUAAUUAUAGACCAGUAUGAAAGGCAAAAUGAGGGUUUGACUGUCUCUUAUAAUAAAUCAAUUAAACUGAUCUCCCAGUAAAAAAGCUGGAAUUACCACAUAAGACCAGAAGACCCUGUGAAGCUUAAACUACACUAUUAAACCUCAUAAUAACUACUUUCGGUUGGGGCGACCUUGGAAAAAAAAAGAACUUCCAAACACAUGAUAUUACAUCACAACAUGGCCCACAAGCCACUCAAAGACCCAGCAUAGCUGAUUAUUGAACCAAGUUACUCCAGGGAUAACAGCGCAAUCCUCUUCAAGAGCCCAUAUCAAAAAGAGGGUUUACGACCUCGAUGUUGGAUCAGGACAUCCUGAUGGUGCAGCCGCUAUCAAGGGUUCGUUUGUUCAACGAUUAAUGUCCU
rnacentral:rRNA from 1 species